CGAAAGGGUUGAGAACGUGGCUGACAAGGAGGGAGAGGGCAGAGGAAGAUGAGGGGUGACAAGGGUCACAAAGUAUAUUGCAGCUCCUGGAGAGAGGUGAGAGAAAGCUAGAGAGAUGAGAAUGUCAGGGAAAGGGAGCUGGUAAAUGUCAGCUUGGUUCAGAGACACCUGGUUUGGGCCGUGUCCCUUCCUGUUGGGGUGGGCCCUGUAGACUGGGCAGGCCUAGCGAGGAAUAGGCUGAAUCAAAAGUGGGGUAUUUGGCUUCAGGAAGGGAGAAGCCUCUGUAACACAACAGCGGAAGCAGGGAUGGCACAGGGGGAAGUGAGUGAAAUUAAGUUUGCUCUGGCUCCUGGUGUUGCCAACUCUAAGUGACCUGGCAGCAAUUGCUACACUUCCUGGGACAUGAGGCCUUCUCCGGGAAGAAAAGGUUUCAGCUACCUGCCUCAGAGGAGUGUGUCCAGAGACUCUGGCUAGGCCAUGUGGCAGAAGCAGGCUCUCACAGAGAUGGGUGGACUUCUGACUUCAUGUGACCAUGAGCAGUAACAGAGAGAACUGGGUGGAAUGGACUGGAAGACAGCCCAAGUUCUAAUGCUGCUCCUCUUGGUGAGAAUGAAAAAAGUGAAUUUAGAAGUGUUUUGUGAAAGUUAGAGCAUGAACCCCAAAACCAACUUCAGCUUUUAGCUUUGUUUUUUCCUCAGAGGACUUAUUCUAACACUCUAUGGAGCAGCAGCAGUAGAGUUAGUUCAGGUUAGUUCAGCUCAUGUCAGAUGUACUCCAGCAUCACAGCAGAGUCACAUUUGACAAAACCAACAUAAAAUGAAGACACAGUAACUGAGGUCAUGCAAGAAAAUGAAAAGAGCAUGCACAUCAUUCCAAUGAGCAGACUGCACAGAAAUUCCAGGCCACAC